CCAGUAACCAAAAGGUUGCUGGAUUGAAUCCCUGAGCUGACAAGAAGUUUUGGAGAAUUGUCAUUUGAUCGUUUCAACACCGGGAUAGUUUACAGAAAUCUAUUUAUUAACUAAAGCUGAGGAGACUUCAUUUUGAGAGCCUGGCCCUAGUACAAAACGAGCAAACCCAGAAUAAAAAUGUGAAAUAGAGACAUUUCUGAGAAGUACAUUCUGGAAUAGCACAAUUGGUAGCACCAUUAGUUGCUAGAAAGACAUGCUCGUUCUGUAGAACAGCACUCUCACAAGGCCUGUUGUGGUGGUGCACCCUCGUAUAGACGCAUUUUCAUCACAGCUUGGAGAAUCCGGAGAGGCGUUCUCACUCGGUGAAGAGGUCGCAGUGAAUCAGAGUGUCUAGGGCUGGUGGGAGCAGCCUCUCAUUUGGUCAGAAUUGGCGGCGAGUAGUUCGACAAAAUGGAGGAAAUGGAGAAAAAGCUGGUGAAGCAACAGCUGUGCUGGAAUAUGAACAAUAUGGGUGUCAGUUCUGAUGGUGUGGAGCGGGAGGAUGAGGGUCAAGGACCGGAAUGGUCGGUAGUGGAGAGACAUAGGAAGAAGCGAGAUCAUGAUACAGAAAGCAGUGGAGCUUCUAGUAAAGAAAGCAUAAAGAGAGCCAAGGCAGGAAGCAAGAGUAAUAAUUUGUUGGAGUGGAAAGUGGUGACAGUGUUUGAUGAGAUCACAGGGCCUCACUUACACCCUAACCGACUAAUGCAGUAGAGAAAGAGGUAGGUAGGGUGAAAUUAACUGGGUUCAUUGGAAAUGGUAGAUUGUUAAUAUUGUGUGGUAGUUAGGCUCAGCAAGAGAAGAUUCUGAAAAUGGAAAAGCUGAAUGGGAAAAAGAUUAAAAGCCAUGUCCCUAGUGCUUAUGCUAGAUUGAGGGGAGUCACCACUGGGUCCCAAUAUCUAUGUCCAUAGAUGAUAUUAAAGAAAAUGUGAAGGGAGGAAGAGUGAUUGAGGCCAAAAAGUUGAUCAGUAGAAAAGAAUGUCAAAGAAGUGAAAGUCUAUCAGUGAGAAGGUUAUGCCUGGGAAAGUACAGAUAGUGUGAAGGUGAAGCUUAAGUGUUGUUAUUGUUGGGGGAACAUAGUGCAGCAUUUGGUGGAUGCCAGGUUUAGAGAGAGGCUAGAGCGGCUCAGAGAUAUAGAAUUAGUCAUAAUGUAUCGUAUGCAGAGGAUGUAAAACAGAUUGAUGGAACUACAGUGUGGAAUGAUGGACCUUAUGUUCUUAUCACAAUGACCCUGAUGAUUUUGAAAGAUACGCUAUGGCAGGCAUUGUAUUCAGCCCUGAGACCCUAGAUGACCCGUCAAAUUAUGCCUAAAAAUGUCAGAGAUUUAAUCGCUGAGAUAAACGGUGGGGCGAUUAAUACUAAUCUAAUCACCACACCCAUAAACUCACCAGUGCUUUCUCAACAUGAUAGCCUUACAGAAUUUGAGAGAUAUAGCGAUAUCUUAUAGCAGGGUGGUGGCCUUGAAGAUGUGAGGAUUACACAUGCAGAACUCAGACAGUUUUUACAUUUCCAAGGUAUUGUAAAUGCUGGAAUAAAUUAUUUAGCAAUUUUCUAUUUACUCAUUAUACUUUGGAUGAUUUGGUCCGUAGAGCCUCAGAGUUAGCAGACGGUCCAGGUGACCGAUUACAUAUAGAAUUGUCUGGGGAUUCACUGUUAUCACCUGUACAUGUUAUUAUGAGACUUGAUGAAUAUAAUGAGGUAAUAAUGGUAUAAUGAAUAUAUAAUAUAAGGUGUGAUGCAAUGCGAUCAAGGUGUAAUGCAAAGCGAUCUUUUGACUGAUGAGACCUUGGAACUGGUCAUACAAAUUACUAACUGAUUUGUUUUUUACCUGCACAUAGUUAUCCACUAAGUUCGUAAGAGACUCCAGGUUUAUAACAGACGUGUUGUGCCUGUGUAGAAUUAUGCCUUUUUCUUUAGGACAUGUCAAACCCUUAAGGGUUUUAUAGCCAUUGAGCUCAGGUGCAUCUUGUUUCCAUUGAUCAUCCUUGAGAUGUUUCUACUACUUGAUUAAAGUCUACCUGUGGUAAAUUUAAUUGAUUGGACAAGAUUUGGAAAGGCACACACCUGUCUAUGUAAGGUCCCACAGUUAGUGCAUGUCAGAGCAUAAACCAACCCAUGAGGUCAAAGGAAUUGUCCGUAGAGCUCUGAGACAGGAUUGUGUCGGCACAGAUCUGGGGAAGGGUACCAAAAAACACAGUGACCUCCACCAAGAACACAGUUUCCUCCAUCAUUCUUGAAUUGAAGAAGUUUGCAACCACCAAUACUCUCCUAGAGCAAACAGGGGAGAAUGGCCUUGGUCAGGGUGGUGGCAAAGAGCCCAAUGGUCUCUAGUGUUCCUCUGUGGAUAUGGGAGAACCUUCCAGAAGGAAAGCCAACCCUGCAGCACUCCACCAA